CGAUAGCUAAUACCGGAUAACAGCAUAAAUCGCAUGAUAUAUGUUUAAAAGUUGGUUUCGGCUAACACUAUGAGAUGGCUUUGCGGUGCAUUAGCUAGUUGGUGGGGUAAAGGCCUACCAAGGCGACGAUGCAUAGCCGACCUGAGAGGGUGAUCGGCCACACUGGGACUGAGACACGGCCCAGACUCCUACGGGAGGCAGCAGUAGGGAAUCUUCCGCAAUGGGCGAAAGCCUGACGGAGCAACGCCGCGUGAGUGAAGAAGGAUUUCGGUUCGUAAAGCUCUGUUGUUAGGGAAGAAUGAUUGUAUAGUAACUAUAUACAGUAGAGACGGUACCUAACCAGAAAGCCACGGCUAACUACGUGCCAGCAGCCGCGGUAAUACGUAGGUGGCAAGCGUUGUCCGGAAUUAUUGGGCGUAAAGCGCGCGCAGGUGGUUUAAUAAGUCUGAUGUGAAAGCCCACGGCUCAACCGUGGAGGGUCAUUGGAAACUGUUAAACUUGAGUGCAGGAGAGAAAAGUGGAAUUC
rnacentral:rRNA from 1 species